rnacentral:rRNA from 1 species
CUACGGGAUGCUCCAGUGAGGAAUAUUGCACAAUGGGGGGAACCCUGAUGCAGCAACGCCGCGUGGAGGAUGACGCAUUUCGGUGUGUAAACUCCUUUUAUAUGUCAAGAAAAUGACGGUAGCAUAUGAAUAAGCGCCGGCUAACUCCGUGCCAGCAGCCGCGGUAAUACGGAGGGCGCAAGCGUUACUCGGAAUCACUGGGCGUAAAGGACGCGUAGGCGGGUUGAAAAGUCAGGUGUGAAAGCCUACAGCUUAACUGUAGAACUGCACUUGAAACUCUCAAUCUAGAGUAUGGGAGGGGCAGAUGGAGUUAGUGGUGUAGGGGUAAAAUCCGUAGAUAUCACUAGGAAUACCUAAAGCGAAGGCGAUCUGCUGGAACAUUACUGACGCUAAGGCGUGAAAGCGUGGGGAGCAAACAGGAUUAGAUACCCUCGUAGUC